AUGAUUCCCAGCGCACUGACGCA
rnacentral:miRNA from 1 species